rnacentral:rRNA from 1 species
UACGUAGGGUGCAAGCGUUGUCCGGAUUUAUUGGGCGUAAAGAGCUCGUAGGCGGCUUGUCGCGUCGACUGUGAAAACUCGGGGCUCAACUCCGAGCUUGCAGUCGAUACGGGCAGGCUAGAGUUCGGUAGGGGAGACUGGAAUUCCUGGUGUAGCGGUGAAAUGCGCAGAUAUCAGGAGGAACACCAAUGGCGAAGGCAGCACUCUGGGACGUGACUGACGCUGAGACGCGAAAGCGUGGGGAGCAAACAGG